GUGCAACAGAACCAAACCCCUGGAAUAGAAUCCCUAACGAGAUCUUGCCACCGCCGCUUGCCGCCGACGGAUCCGGCUCGACGUCGAUGUCGGCCACCGAGCAGCCGCCCAAGAAGCGAAAGCUCUACGAGGCGAUUUCGGACCCACCGAUCGCCCCGCCCCAUCAUCAGGCCUUAGUCUCGGGCGCCCCUCCCCCUCCCCCGUCGCAGGAGGAGAUCAUCCGGAAGCGGAGGAACAAGGAUGAGAUCCGAAGUCUCGUGGAGUGCUAUCGGAGAAUCAAGUUUUGCGCCUCCCAGAAGGACGCCGGCCUCAUGUCCGAGCUUGAGCAGGCUUAUUUGUCUCUAAUUACCGCUUCCAGAGGUUGCUCGAGCGUACAGCGUAUUGUAGCUGAGCUUAUUCCUCGGUAUGCAUCAUUCUGUCCUACUGCUCUAGAGGCAGCAGCUAGAGUUUCUAUCAACAUGUAUAAUUGGAGCUUGGCCAUAAUCGUGAAAGGAGAGGAUGUUGAUGGUGUGGCAUAUGAAACUGUUAAAGCCUGUAUUUUUGGUCUAGUUGACAUUUGUUGCACAGCAUCACAUGAAGCACCAACAUCUUCUGUCAUUCAGGGCAUCUGUUCUGCAGUUUUUUCAAAUAUUCUUACGUUUUUUGUUUCAACUUUUGAGGGUAAGGAUAUUUAUCAGAUAGGUAGCAGAGAAGUUCUAAAGCUUCAAGACCCAAUGGAUUUCCUUCAUGAACUGAAGCAUGAGACGAAGUAUGAUAGCGAAACUGUGUUACAUAGGUUAUUUUUGCUUCGGGCACUUAGUUUCCUUUGCAUAUUUUUUGCCUUCCCAAAGAACUUACUUGCAGCCUGUUUUGAGCUCUUUGUUUCUGGCGGAACUGAUGUUGCUCUACAUAGAGAGGGGCAGUACUUUCUAAAUCAGAUGACAAGUCAUCUGAGUGAUGAUGAAAAUGACGUAAGUCAUGUGACAGACAAGGUGACUGAUGAACCUUCACUAUGUCCAAAUCUGACAAAACCAAGUAUAGAUUCCGAUGGAAAUGAUCAAACUGAGUCCGUAGCGCAUUCAAGGAAAACUUUGCUACAAUCUAAAAAUUGUUUAUUGGGAAUGGCAAUUAAGAAUGAUCCAUCCAUGAGAGUUUGGAUAUCUUCUUAUUGUAGUAAAUUAUCCAAGUUGCAUGGCCUACAGGCUACUACCGAAUCAUUAUCCAUGUUGGAGAACUUAUUUGGGUCUUUGUCAAAGUUGGUUGAUGGAACAGAUUUUGAAGGGAGUGGUGGGAACAAAUUUGAUGCAUCAAAUCAUGAUGAUGUCAGCAACCCAUACUUGGUUUACAAGAACCCUCUCCAGAAUGAAGACAUUGGUGGUGUUUCAAAGGACUCGGGAAUUCCUGAUGCAUCUCCGGCUGAUGCGUGCAAAAGAGAUGAUGGUUUUGCAGAAAAAGCUAUGGGUGAAAGGGAAGGAAAUUCCAUUCAUGGUGGGGAAAGGUUGGCCACCACAAGGAAGUUACACUCUGGGAAUCGGAAGGAGUCAAAUACGAUAAAUUACCAGAGCUUUAAUGCUGAUCUUGGCAUGCCAUCUUUUGUAUCUAUUUCUGGAGGUGCAGCUAAAACUUUUUCAUCCCCUAAUGAACAUUCUCCUGCACAAAGCAGUGCUUCCACUCAAUUUCUUUGGUACUCUGAUGGGGAUCCUAGAGCCAUGGAUGUGACCUCUGCUUCCAAGCAAUUGUGGGUGAGUUCUCUUGGGCAUGAUGCCACUGAAACGGCAGUUAGAUUGCAGUUUGAGGAUUUUGGUGCCUUGCAAUGUUUUCUGUUUAUUCCUGCCAAAGAUUUUGCUUUAGUUGAGUACCGAAAUAUUCUGGAUGCUGUGAAGGCACGUAAAUGUAUGCAGGGCUCCUCUCUAUGGGGUGGUUGCCUUCAUAUUAAGUUUCUUGAUAGAGGAGUGGGUAGCAGAGCAGCUUUUAAUGGUAUAGCUGUUGGUGAUAGCUCUUUUGUUUAUGUUGGUAAUGUGUCAACCCAGCGGUUGAAAGAUGAGAUACUGCACGAGUUAUUGAAAGCAGGCUUGAGGAAUCCCCCUAUAGUUACUAGUCUUGCAAGUGAAAAUGCCUUGCUGCUGGAAUUCAGCUCUGCAGAAGAAGCAGCCUCUGCAAUUGGGCACAUCAGGUAUUUUCGUGAAGCUAGUGGAUGUCAAGCAUAUGAAAAUAGAAAAUGGACACAUGGUGCAUACAUUAAGGAUAAGUCUGUUUCUGGAUGUCAGCUUCUAGUAAAGCAAGUUGAUGCUUCUGUCCCCGACAUGGAGUUGAUCAAUGCAUUUUCUAGAUUUGGAGAGAUUACUGGAUGGCAAUUUGAUAGACUAAAUGGUUGCUGCUAUAUAGAUUUCCAGUCACAUGAAGCUGCCAACCUUGCAAAAUCCCAUUUGCGUGGUGCAAGGUUUGGGUCUACUACUGUUGAAGUUGAAAUUAGGAGUGGAAACACUGGAAGUGCCCCAAACAAUGUGCUUUUUUCACCAAGGGCUCCAAGUUUCCAUGAUGUGUCUGCUGACCACUGGAAGGCUCGAAUGUCUCAGUUAUCUUCUUUAUUUUCAUCUCUGCGUGUCAAAUACAAUCUUAAUCAGAAUCUUUCUUAUGAAAGCAAUAAGCAGAAGAAUUAUUCACUUUCCACGAAAGAUGAAGUACCGGUUAGCACUCUCUAUAUUACUCUGCCUGGUAUUUCUUUUAUGACAAUCGAAGAUGAUGACUUAAGGGCCUUGUGCAAUCUUGCUGUUGGGAAUCUUGGUUCUGUGGUUAGAUUGACACGAAUAGGUUUGCAAAGUUCUUGCUGGCAUGUUGAGUUUAGCAGUGUGGAUGCUGCUGUGACUGCACUAGAUAUCAUCCGGAGCUGUUCAGAAACGUUUCUUCAAGCUGAGUUCAGGAAUAAUAGAGCUGCUGUAUAUCAUGAAGAAUCAGUUACACCGAGGAAAUUAAAUACUUUGGGAUAUUCUCCAUCUCCUGGGGAAUUUCGCCCUGCUGGUUUGGAUAGCAAACAAGGAAAUCCUUAUGUUAGAUCUUUCACAAAUAAACCUGAUCUCAAUGUUCAUAUACCGGUAUCCCCAAGGGUAAAUGUAGAAAAUAUAGGUUUUCAAGUGCAGCAUGGACAAGCAUUUCAAUCAAACUGGACUGUUGCAAGCAGUGCUGACAUGCGGGAAGUGCCCAUGGAUCUCUCAUUUCCUGGUCCCGCCACCAAUGCUGGUGAAAAAAUCUGGCAUUACAUGAAGAAGGAGAAUGAGCCACAGAUGUUUGGGAAAGUAAGCUUACCAAGCCGGACCAGUGUCACACAUGUGGGCUCUGUAAUACCACCACCGGUGCCAACAUCUUUGGUGCGUCCUGUCUAUCUUACCCCAAGUAAUUCCUGGGAUAAUUCUGGUCCAAGUCCUCUACUAAACCGAACUUCCACAGGCAUGAUGCUUAUCGAUAAUCGCAAUAUUAAUGCAUGUGCUCCUGUUCCUUUUAUACCCUCUUCUAUUACUCCACUUUCACAGCUGCCUGGGGGUGCCAUGCAGCGAUUUGACCAAGUAGUUACAGUACCAGGUUUAUCAAAUGUAGUUCACCCACCUCCUCCCCCAUCCGAUGUGCCACCUCCAUUGCCUCUCUCUCAGCCACCUUCUGUUCCACCUCCUCCAAGCUCUCCUCCUCCUCUGCAACAACCGAAGGAUUCCAACUUGCAAGCAAGUAUAUCAUGUCCUCACCAUCAGUGGCAAGGCACUCUUUCAAAAAGUGGAGUUCACUACUGCACAAUUUAUGCAGUUAGAGAGGACUCGGUUGCUUGUAAAUAUUCAACCACGUUGUCAGAACCAGCAGACUGGCCUGCUAGAUUAGAUGUAACAAAACGCACAGACAUUCAGCAUGUUAAGUCAACUUUUUCUAACACUCCUCCUCAUAAAAGAGAGGUUUGUCGUUUGCUGCCGUCCACCACAAACGACCAAAGAGGAGAUUUUGACCAUGUACUACAUUGUGAACUAUCACUACAGCAUCUUCGAAGAGAUCACCAUUGCUUGGUGGGACACUAUCCUACCAAACUAGUCUUGCCCCUGCUGUCUGUAAUUAUGCUAGCUUUUAUCAGUAAUAGCCACAUUUAUGUGGUUUUUUUAUUGUCAUAGUUUCCACCUUUGUCUUAUGGUAGGUAAUAUCUUUCAUUUGGACCUUGAUUCUUCUUGGUAAUUUUUCUUUUACAACUCUGGUUGCGUCCAUUAUCUUUCUAAAAGACUUGAUGUCAUGGUAUAGACGGAUGCACUGGUCUGUUGCUGGACGUUAUAUCGCGUUUAUCAAGGGGCAAUAUACAUGUGUUAUGGUACGAGUGUUUGUCAAUGUGUAUGUCCAUGGCCAUCGUGUGUGUCCAUGCUUGCGUGGGAGCUUCUUAAUAAACCUAUGUUUUCAAUUUUACAUCAAUGAUCCAAGACUUCAUAUCAUAUCUGAAGCAAAGGGACUGUGCUGGAGUAAUAAAGAUUCCUGCGGGGAAGUCGAUGGGCUCAAGGUUACUCUUCAUUCUCCCAUACUCACUCGACACUUGUUCCUUGCUGGCCAUUGC